AUGGCGGCAGCAGCUCUUCUCCCGCCGCUGCUCCCGUCGCCACCGAGGAGCGAGAUGCCGCCGCUGCUCCCGACGCCGCCCAGGAGCGAGAUGCUGCCGCUGUUGCCGACGCCGCACGGUGUCAUCCUCACCAUGCUGGUGUCCGCCAUGGCAGGCCGCGCCGACUUCGUCAAGAGGUGGGACUGGAACAAGAAACGCGACAAUAAUCCAUGCAGCUCAAUCUGCUCCUCCUCCUCGUCGUCGUCGGGCAGUGGGAGCCCCGGACGCGCUGACUCCGUCGACAGGUGGGACUCGCACAAGAAAUACAAGGCGCCCCGCACCACCAUGUCGUCGUCGUCGUCUUCUUCGUCACACGGCGCCGGUAGCCCCCGACGCGCCGACUCCGUCGAACGCUGGGAGAGCAAGAAACUCGAGACCUCGCCGCCCAAGGAUCGUGGCCGCCAUGUCGGCAACAGCAAGCGCCUGCCUAGCCCUAGCCGCGCGUCCUCGGCGGAGCGCUGGGACUUGCACAAGAAACCUCGCCCGGAGCAGGAGCAGAUGGAGAAGCCGCCUCAGACUAACAUGACAGCGACGACGCCGCAGAAGGCCACGUUCGCCGGACCCAGCUUCCACGCCUCGCCUGACCCGAGCAUGCUCCCCAUGCCCUCCUUGUUUCUGCUGGCACGUCCGCGUGCACUCUGUACUAGUAACUAA
rnacentral:rRNA from 1 species